UGCAUAGGAAUCUACCUAGUAGUACGGAAUAGCCAUUAGAAAUGAUGGGUAAUACUGUAUAAUCCCCGCGGGGGAAAGAUUUAUCGCUAUUAGAUGAGCCUACGUUAGAUUAGCUAGUUGGUAAGGUAAUGGCUUACCAAGGCUAUGAUCUAUAGCUGGUCUGAGAGGACGAUCAGCCACACUGGAACUGAGAUACGGUCCAGACUCCUACGGGAGGCAGCAGUGGGGAAUAUUGGACAAUGGGCGAAAGCCUGAUCCAGCUAUGCCGCGUGAGUGAAGAAGGCCUUCGGGUUGUAAAACUCUUUCAAUAGGGAAGAUAAUGACGGUACCUAUAGAAGAAGUCCCGGCAAACUCUGUGCCAGCAGCCGCGGUAAUACGGAGGGGGCAAGCGUUGUUCGGAAUUAUUGGGCGUAAAGGGC
rnacentral:rRNA from 1 species